rnacentral:ncRNA from 1 species
AAAACAAUGUCAAAUAUCAAAUGGUUAAUUACAGGAACUGUUUGGUAUUGCUACAGAGAAAUUAGUCCCGUUUAAUUUGGCUAUAUGCUGGAAAGACUCAAGUAUUCGACAGUACCGCAAGGUGAAAAUCUGAUCGGUGGAGUUAAUCAGCAGGAAAGGCUACGUUCAAUUAAAUGAAUGUGGAAUCCUCAACGACUAUACGCCAAACCCUGAAUUAAAUUCAGGGAAGAUAUAGUCUGACCUUCAUGGCGACAUGAAG